AGCGCAGGCGGGAAGACAAGUUGGAAGUGAAAUCCAUGGGCUCAACCCAUGAACUGCUUUCAAAACUGUUUUUCUUGAGUAGUGCAGAGGUAGGCGGAAUUCCCGAUGUAGCGGUGGAAUGCGUAGAUAUCGGGAGGAACACCAGUGGCGAAGGCGGCCUACUGGGCACCAACUGACGCUGAGGCUCGAAAGUGUGGGUAGCAAACA
rnacentral:rRNA from 1 species